GGCGAACGCUGGCGGCACGCCUCAUACAUGCAAGUCGAGCGAUCGGACGCUGGGUGCUUGCACCUGGCGUUACGGAGCGGCGAACGGGUGAGUAACACGUGGGCAACCUACCCCGAAGACCGGGAUAACUCCGGGAAACUGGAGCUAAUACCGGAUACCCUCACCGGAUCGCAUGAUCUGGUGAGGAAAUGGUCCUCCGCUUCGGGAGGGGCCCGCGGACUAUCAGCUAGUUGGUGGGGUGACGGCCUACCAAGGCUUUGACGGAUAGCCGGCCUGAGAGGGUGUUCGGCCACACCGGGACUGGGACACGGCCCGGACUCCUACGGGAGGCAGCAGUAGGGAAUCUUGCACAAUGGGCGCAAGCCUGAUGCAGCGAUGCCGCGUGAGGGAUGAAGGCCCUCGGGUCGUAAACCUCUUUCAGUAGGGAAGAAGCCACCAUCAACGUGGUGACGGUACCUGCAGAAGAAGCCCCGGCUAACUACGUGCCAGCAGCCGCGGUAAGAC
rnacentral:rRNA from 1 species